CGAGCGGAAACGAUGGUAGCUUGCUACCAGGCGUCGAGCGGCGGACGGGUGAGUAACGCGUGAGAAUCUGCCCAUUUGUGGGGGAUAACUCGGGGAAACUCGAGCUAAUACCGCAUAAUCCCUACGGGGGAAAGCAGGGGACCUUCGGGCCUUGUGCAGAUGGAUGAGCUCGCGUCGGAUUAGCUUGUUGGUGAGGUAAAGGCUCACCAAGGCGACGAUCCGUAGCUGGUCUGAGAGGAUGAUCAGCCACACCGGGACUGAGACACGGCCCGGACUCCUACGGGAGGCAGCAGUGGGGAAUCUUGGACAAUGGGGGCAACCCUGAUCCAGCCAUGCCGCGUGUGUGAAGAAGGCCUUCGGGUUGUAAAGCACUUUCAGUAGGGAGGAAGGCUUACCGCUAAUAACGGUGAGUACUUGACGUUACCUACAGAAGAAGCACCGGCUAAUUUCGUGCCAGCAGCCGCGGUAAUACGAAAGGUGCGAGCGUUAAUCGGAAUUACUGGGCGUAAAGCGCGCGUAGGCGGUUUGUUAAGUCAGAUGUGAAAGCCCCGGGCUCAACCUGGGAAUUGCAUUUGAAACUGGCAGGCUAGAGUGCAGUAGAGGGAGGUGGAAUUUCCGGUGUAGCGGUGAAAUGCGUAGAGAUCGGAAGGAACACCAGUGGCGAAGGCGGCCUCCUGGACUGACACUGACGCUGAGGUGCGAAAGCGUGGGGAGCAAACAGGAUUAGAUACCCUGGUAGUCCACGCCGUAAACGAUGUCUACUAGUCGUUGGGAAUCUUAGUAUUCUUGGUGACGAAGUUAACGCGAUAAGUAGACCGCCUGGGGAGUACGGCCGCAAGGUUAAAACUCAAAUGAAUUGACGGGGGCCCGCACAAGCGGUGGAGCAUGUGGUUUAAUUCGAUGCAACGCGAAGAACCUUACCAGGGCCUUGACAUCCUUGGAACUUUCUAGAGAUAGAUUGGUGCC
rnacentral:rRNA from 1 species